rnacentral:tmRNA from 1 species
GGGGCCGAUCUGGAUUCGACCGGUCAGAUCCGUUGCGUUUGUGGCGCGUCGAGGAGCAUGCAGGCCUCGUAAAAAGCAUGCAAAACAUUAACUGCCGAGCGUAACUACGCUCUCGCGGCCUGAUAUCAGGCCGUGCAGCCCCUGUCACACGCCUGCUAAGGCGGGGGCUGAAGACAGCAGGCUGGCAGAGAUCCGCCGUCCGCGGGGGUCACACUGCGAGACAACACCGGGGACUUGUCCGAAGGGGAGGGUGUCGUGCCCCGCUUCAAGGACGAGAACAAAUGCACGACUACACGCGUAGAGGCGGCGCAUCGACUGUUCGGGACGGGGGUUCAAGUCCCCCCGGCUCCAUUG